UACAGGGGGGGCAAGCGUUGUUCGGAAUUACUGGGCGUAAAGGGGUAGUAGGCGGCCAACUAAGUCAGACGUGAAAUCCCUCGGCUUAACCGGGGAACUGCGUCUGAUACUGGAUGGCUUGAGUUUGGGAGAGGGAUGCGGAAUUCCAGGUGUAGCGGUGAAAUUCGUAGAUAUCUGGAGGAACACCGGUGGCGAAGGCGGCAUCCUGGACCAACACUGACGCUGAGUGAGCGAAAGCCAGGGGAGCAAACGGG
rnacentral:rRNA from 1 species